UACGGAAGGCAGCGGUGGGGAAUAUUGGACAAUGGGCGAAAGCCUGAUCCAGCCAUGCCGCAUGAGUGAAGAAGGCCUUCGGGUUGUAAAGCUCUUUUAGUGAGAAAGAUAAUGACGGUACUCACAGAAGAAGUCCUGGCUAACUCCGUGCCAGCAGCCGCGGUAAUACGGAGAGGGCUAGCGUUAUUCGGAAUUAUUGGGCGUAAAGAGCGCGUAGGCUGAUUAGUAAGUUAAAAGUGAAAUCCCAAAGCUUAACUUUGGAAUUGCUUUUUAAAACUGCUAAUCUAGAGAUUGAAAGAGGAUAGAGGAAUUCCUAGUGUAGAGGUGAAAUUCGUAAAUAUUAGGAGGAACACCAGUGGCGAAGGCGUCUAUCUGGUUCAAAUCUGACGCUGAGGCGCGAAGGGCGUGGGGAGCAAACAGGGAUUAGAUACC
rnacentral:rRNA from 1 species